rnacentral:rRNA from 1 species
AGCAGCCGCGGUAAUUCCAGCUCCAAUAGCGUAUAUUAAAGUUGUUGCAGUUAAAAAGCUCGUAGUUGAAUUUUGGGUUUGGCCGAUUGGUCCGUUCUUGUAACGAGUACUGGUCGGUUGGGCCUCACCGCCUGGUGAUGCGUAAUGCCCUUUAUUGGGUGUUGCGAGUAGUCAGGACCUUUACCUUGAAAAAAUUAGAGUGUUUAAAGCAGGCUUAUGCCGGAAUACAUUAGCAUGGAAUAAUAGAAUAGGACGAUGAUUCUAUUUUGUUGGUUUCUAGGAGCAUCGUAAUGAUUAAUAGGGAUAGUUGGGGGCAUUAGUAUUCAAUUGUCAGAGGUGAAAUUCUUGGAUUUAUUGUAAGACUAACUACUGCGAAAGCAUUUGCCAAGGAUGUUUUCAUUAAUCAAGAACGAAAGUUAGGGGAUCGAAGACGAUCAGAUACCGUCGUAGUCUUAACCAUAAACUAUGCCGACUAGGGAUCGGGCGAUGUUGUUUCAAUGACCCGCUCGGCACCUUAUGG